rnacentral:rRNA from 1 species
AUUGAACGCUGGCGGCAGGCCUAACACAUGCAAGUCGAACGAGUGGCGGACGGGUGAGUAAUGUCUGGGAAACUGCCCGAUGGAGGGGGAUAACUACUGGAAACGGUAGCUAAUACCGCAUACCAUCGGAUGUGCCCAGAUGGGAUUAGCUAGUAGGUGGGGUAACGGCUCACCUAGGCGACGAUCCCUAGCUGGUCUGAGAGGAUGACCAGCCAAACUGGACAUGAGACACGGGCCAGACUCCUACGGGAGGCAGCAGUGGGGAGUAUUGCACAAUGGGCGCAAGCCUGAUGCAGCCAUGCCGCGUGUAUGAAGAAGGCCUUCGGAUUGUAAAGUACUUUCAGCGAGGAGGCGUUGCUAGCAGAAGAAGCACCGACUAACUACGUGCCAGCAGCCGCGGUAAUUC